rnacentral:lncRNA from 1 species
AUGGCCUGAAUCCCUCUGCUGCUCACCCUCCUCAGUCUCUGCACAGGAGGGUCCUGGGCAGUCAGGGCUCACUUGGUGGCCUGCACAGUUUGUCUGUGACUAAACCAGCCACCAUCUCCUGCACUGGAAACAGCAGCAAUAACGUCCUUGGAAUUGUGUCCUGGUACCAACAAUGAACAGGAAGUGUCCUUAAACCUCUGAUCUGUGGAUGUAAAUAUCCACCUGCAGAUCCAGAACUGAUUCUUGAGUGAUCAGUCUGGCAAGGAGGCCUUCCUGAGCAUAUCUGGGCUCCAGGCUGAGGACAAGGCUGAUCAUUAACGUUGGAUUUGGACAGUUCUCUGGAGGCCCCCACGGUGCUGCAGUCUGUGGGGAAGUGAGAUGGGAA